rnacentral:rRNA from 1 species
GUCUUUAUGAAGUUGUAUAAAGUCUAACCUGCCCAUUGAAUUUUUUAAAGGCCGCGGUAUUUUAACUGUGCAAAGGUAGCAUAAUAAUUAGUUUUUUAAUUGAAAACUUGAAUGAAAGGUUGGACAAAGAAAAAUCUGUCUUUAAUAUUUUUAUUGAACUUUACCUUUAAGUGAAAAGGCUUAAAUAAAUUUAAGGGACGAUAAGACCCUAUAAAUCUUUACAUUUUACUAAACUUUAAAACUAGAAAUAAAUUUAUUUAAAAGCUUAAGAAAUAAUGUUUUAUUGGGGUAAUAAAGAUAUAAUAUUUAUAUAAACUGUCUUUUUUUAAAAACAAAUAUAUUUGUAUAUAAAGAUCCUUCUUAAAGAUUAAAAGUUUAAGUUACUUUAGGGAUAACAGCGUAAUUUUUUUUGAGAGUUCCUAUCGAAAAAAAAGUUUGCGACCUCGAUGUUGAAUUAAAAUUUCUUCGUGGUGUAGAAGCUAUAUAAAGAAAGUCUGUUCGACUUUUAAAAUUU